CCUACGGGAGGCAGCAGUCGGGAAUAUUGCGCAAUGGAGGAAACUCUGACGCAGUGACGCCGCGUGCAGGAAGAAGGUUUUCGGAUUGUAAACUGCUUUUGACAGGGAAGAACAAAGACAGUACCUGUAGAUUAAGCUCCGACUAACUACUUGCCAGCAGCCGCGGUUAUACGUAGGGACGAAGCGUGAGCCGGAUUUAUUGGGGGUAAAGGGUGCGGAGAGGGAGUAGCAAGUUAGUUGUGAAAUCCCUCGGCUUAACUGAGGAACUGCAACUAAACCUAGUUCCCUUGAGUACUGGAGAGGAAAGUGGAAUUCCAAGUGUAGCGGUGAAAUGCGUAGAUAUUAGGAGGAACACCAGUGGCGAAGGCGACUUUCUGGACAGUAACUGACGUUGAGGCACGAAAGUGUGGGGAGCAAACAGGAUUAGAUACCCCUGUAGUC
rnacentral:rRNA from 1 species